rnacentral:rRNA from 1 species
GACGAACGCUGGCGGCGUGCCUAAUACAUGCAAGUAGAACGCUGAAGAGAGGAGCUUGCUCUUCUUGGAUGAGUUGCGAACGGGUGAGUAACGCGUAGGUAACCUGCCUUGUAGCGGGGGAUAACUAUUGGAAACGAUAGCUAAUACCGCAUAACAAUGGAUGACACAUGUCAUUUAUUUGAAAGGGGCAAUUGCUCCACUACAAGAUGGACCUGCGUUGUAUUAGCUAGUAGGUGAGGUAAUGGCUCACCUAGGCGACGAUACAUAGCCGACCUUAGAGGGUGAUCGGCCACACUGGGACUGGGGCACGGCCCAGACUCCUACGGGAGGCAGCAGUAGGGAAUCUUCGGCAAUGGGGGCAACCCUGACCGAGCAAAGCCGCGUGAGUGAAGAAGGUUUUCGGAUCGUAAAGCUCUGUUGUAAGUCAAGAACGGGUGUGAGAGUGGAAAGUUCACACUGUGACGGUAGCUUACCAGAAAGGGACGGCUAACUACGUG